rnacentral:rRNA from 1 species
AGAGUUUGAUCAUGGCUCAGAUUGAACGCUGGCAGCAUGCUUAACACAUGCAAGUCGAACGGUAACAGGAUCUAGCUUGCUAGAUUGCUGACGAGUGGCGGACGGGUGAGUAAUGCAUAGGUAUCUGCCUAACAGUGGGGGACAACCUGGUGAAAACCAGGCUAAUACCGCAUACGUCCUACGGGAGAAAGGGGGCUUUUAGCUCUCGCUGAUAGAUGAGCCUAUGUCGGAUUAGCUAGUUGGUGAGGUAAUGGCUCACCAAGGCGACGAUCCGUAGCUGGUCUGAGAGGAUGAUCAGCCACACUGGGACUGAGACACGGCCCAGACUCCUACGGGAGGCAGCAGUGGGGAAUAUUGGACAAUGGGGGCAACCCUGAUCCAGCAAUGCCGCGUGUGUGAAGAAGGCCUUCGGGUUGUAAAGCACUUUCAGGAGUGAGGAAAGGGUUGUGGUUAAUACCUGCAAUCUGUGACGUUAGCUCCAGAAGAAGCACCGGCUAACUCUGUGCCAGCAGCCGCGGUAAUACAGAGGGUGCAAGCGUUAAUCGGAAUUACUGGGCGUAAAGCGCGCGUAGGUGGUUGGUUAAGUUGGAUGUGAAAGCCCUGGGCUCAACCUGGGAAUGGCAUUCAAAACUGGUCGACUAGAGUAUGGUAGAGGGAAGGGGAAUUCCAGGUGUAGCGGUGAAAUGCGUAGAUAUCUGGAGGAACAUCAGUGGCGAAGGCGCCUUCCUGGACUAAUACUGACACUGAGGUGCGAAAGCGUGGGUAGCAAACAGGAUUAGAUACCCUGGUAGUCCACGCCGUAAACGAUGUCAACUAGGUGUUGGGGGGUUUAACCCCUUGGUACCGCAGCUAACGCGAUAAGUUGACCGCCUGGGGAGUACGGUCGCAAGAUUAAAACUCAAAUGAAUUGACGG